AAGACUCAGGCGGCUCUGGUUUUCACACGUCAUUUUGCUUCUGGUCCUAGGGAGUGUGAGUCACAUGUGAAAGUCUCUUGUUUUGCGAAGCCUGUGUCUGCUGCUGCCACCACCUUCACAGCAGCUGCCACCUCAAGGCAGGAGGCCCAGAGAACGGGCAGGACUCCCCAUCUGCCAGCCAGUGCUGCAGCUAUGGGAGGAAGGCAUUAGGGACGAUAAUUUUCGGGCCCAGUGCUGAGGGGGAUUUUCCAUCCUAUGCAUUACAUGAAAGCAGAAUGCAAAUGACAUAGCAAUGAGCCUAUGCCCUAGAAGCCCUUCUGCUGGGUCAAAUGUGAAGGGGAUGUGAGUCUGGUUAGCCUGUGCCUUCCAGAAAACGCUCCGUCCACUCCACUUGGCUGCAGGGAGAGCCACAGCCUCUGGCCUAUCCACUGCCACCUACUCCUCCUCCUGCAGGAAGCCUGCCUGGGUCUGUACCCCUGGGCACUCAGUACUCUCCAGGGGCCUCAAAUCUUUAUGAGAAGUAGGUAGGGCUUAAAGUCUAAAUGACCAAAUAAAAAGGAUCCUGAUGCUUCUGUUUUCUCCACUUGUGGCCUAUGCACAGGGCUGGGCACACAGGGCCUACUGGAUGGACAGGGCCAGCCAAAGGGCCAGGAUGUCCCAGCAAAGCUUGGGAGAUGUGGGAUGGCCCUCUUCCCAUGCAGCCUCAAACCCUGGACCGGACCCACAGAUUCUGGAAUAUCUGUCAAGACCCUGGGAAGGCUCUGACCUCACAUAGGACAGUGCCUCCCUCACAAUACAGCAACGUCAGUAGAGGAUGGGUGCCAGAUGUCUGCAUCCUGAGAAGCGGGACUGAGAGCUGAGCUUCUAGCAUGAGAAUGCUGAACAAAGCCCGCCCUGGCUGGUCCUGUACUAUGGGCUGGGCUACUCACCUACUGUGCUCUGCAUCACCCAACCCGAUGGAGAGAAAGGUACCAUUAUCUGAGCGAGUUGCCAUUUUACUGGGCUGGAAACAGGCUGAGACUUGCCCAAGGACAUACAGCCUUGUGAGUGGAAAGCCGGAAUGUGCACACUCUCAACCCUGAAGCUAUGCUGUCUCUAAAGGAGGGCAGGGUGGGUUUGCCUGUGUGUGAAGGACGGGUGCAUACUCUGCGAGGACCCCCUGGGACCUUUGGUUCUGGGCCCAUCUUCCCAGCUGGGAUCGAGAGUGCUUCUGGCACAGAAGCCCAAUGGAAGAAGGUGGAUGCUAAGGGCUAGAGGAAUGAGGAGGGGAAUCAGUGUUUUGUGGGCAUAGAGUUUCAGUGUGGAAAGAUGAAAAAGCCUUAGAGAUCUGUUGCACAAUGAUGUGAAUAUACCGAACACUUCUGACCUGUACAAUUAAAAUGCUUAAUAUAGUCAA